rnacentral:tRNA from 3 species
GGGGAUGUGGCGGAAUUGGUAGACGCACCAGAUUUAGGUUCUGGCGCCGAGAGGUGUGAGAGUUCGAGUCUCUCCAUCCCCACCA